ACGCUCGACACCUACGGGAGCAGCAGUGGGGAAUAUUGCACAAUGGGGGAAACCCUGAUGCAGCGACGCCGCGUGGAGGAAGAAGGUCUUCGGAUUGUAAACUCCUGUUGUUGGGGAAAAAGAGGAUGGUACCCAACAAGGAAGUGACGGCUAACUACGUGCCAGCAGCCGCGGUAAUCUGAGGCGGGCUGGACAAGGC
rnacentral:rRNA from 1 species